rnacentral:rRNA from 1 species
UCCUACGGGGGGCAGCAGUGGGGGAUAUUGGACAAUGGGGGGAACCCUGAUCCAGCGACGCCGCGUGAGUGAAGAAGUAUUUCGGUAUGUAAAGCUCUGUCAGCAGGGAAGAAAGAAAUGACGGUACCUGACCAAGAAGCCCCGGCUAACUACGUGCCAGCAGCCGCGGUAAUACGUAGGGGGCAAGCGUUAUCCGGAUUUACUGGGUGUAAAGGGAACGUAGGUGGCAGGGCAAGUCAGAUGUGAAAACCCGGGGCUCAACUCCGGGAGUGCAUUUGAAACUGUCCAGCUAGAGUGCGGGAGAG